AUACUUACUUGGCAGGGGAGAUACCAUGAUCAUGAAGGUGCUUUUCCCAGGGGAGGUUUAUCCAUUGCACUUCGAAUGUGCUGACCCCUGCAAUUUCCCCAAAUGUGGGAAACUCGACUGCAUAAUUUGUGGUAGUGCCGUUUGUGCUCUU
ensembl:snRNA U1 U1 spliceosomal RNA